UACGUAGGGGGCAAGCGUUGUCCGGAUUUAUUGGGCGUAAAGCGCUCGCAGGUGGUUCGUCGCGUCGUGCGUGAAAGACCCCGGCUCAACUGGGGGAGGUCGUGCGAUACGGGCGGACUGGAGGCCAGUAGGGGGAUGCGGAAUUCCGGGUGUAGUGGUGGAAUGCGUAGAGAUCCGGAGGAACACCAGCGGCGAAGGCGGCGUCCUGGACUGGUACUGACGCUCAGGAGCGAAAGCGUGGGGAGCGAGCCGG
rnacentral:rRNA from 1 species